rnacentral:misc_RNA from 1 species
UCUCCGUUGGUGAACCAGCGGAGGGAUCAUUACAGAGUUGCAAAACUCCCAUACCAUUGUGAACGUUACCUAUCCCGUUGCUUCGGCGGGCGGCCCGGGCCCCGCGCCCGGCGCCCCCCGGCCCCCCGUGGGCGCCCGCCGGAGGUAAACCAAACCCUUGAAUUGCAUGGCCUCUCUGAGUCUUCUGUACUGAAUAAGUCAAAACUUUCAACAACGGAUCUCUUGGUUCUG